rnacentral:rRNA from 1 species
UGACGUUGCUUCUCCGCCGGUCGAGGACAACCGACCCCUCCCGUCCGAGGUGAAACCGACGUCCCUGUGUUACCUCCCUAGAGGCACACGUUAAAGAUCGUCUCGCGUUUGUGAGUCUCGACACCGGUUGGAAAACACGUUUACAACCGGUAGCGCUGGAUCCCUUGGCACGUCAUUCGAUGAAGACCGUUGCAAAUUGCGAUAAAGUGAUGUGAUGCGCAAGUCCACCACUUAUACGUGAAUCAUCGAGUUGUUGAACGCAUUGCACCGCGCCCUAAACCGGCUGCGGUAUGCCCCUUUGAGCGUCAUUGUUAUCCUUCGGGAGUCUUUUUUCAAAAGACCCGAGUUCGGAGUCCUCGGUCCUCGUUGGAUCGCGUUCUCUCAGAUCGAUCGUGCCGAUCGUCCGGUGGGUCCUCUAAUGCCUGAGCGUGGAGGGCCUCUGGGGUUUCGAGAGGCGUCCGACCGCGCGUUGAGCGCCGGUCAGCAAGUCCCGCACGGCUCAGCCUGUCGGUGCUACAGCUUCAUGACCUCAUCGGGGUAGGACAACCCGCUAGACUUAAGCAUAUUAAUCAGCGGAGGAAAAGAAACUAACCAGGAUUCCCUCAGUAACUGCGAGUGAAGCGGGAUCGGCUCAAUGUGUGAAUCUGGCUGGGGUCGUUCCCGCGUCCGAGUUGUGCACUACGGAUGCUUCGUCUGCGUUUGUAACUGCGGUGGAAGUCCGAUGAAACACGGCACCUCAGAGGGUCACAGUCCUGUACCACCUGCCUGCACUCGCGCCAAUGACAAGCGCUCCUCGAGUCGCGUAGUUUUGUUUUGCUGCGCCAAGUGGGAGGUAGAGACCUUCUAAGGCUAAAUAUGAUGACGUGACCGAUAGCACACAAGUACCGCGAGGGAAAGGUGAAAAGCAACCAUGAAAAAUGGGUUGAAACAGUAGUGAAAGCGCUACCGGGAUAAGGGCUAUCGGGUGCUGGGGCUCUUGGGGUGUGCUUCAGUGCUACCCUUUGGGACGGCCCGCGCGGGUUGAUGUUGGGGCGAUAGACGCGCCGCAGGAAUUCGGCUGCCUUUGGGCAGUGUUGUAGCCUGCGGUUGCCGAUCCUCCUGCGACC